rnacentral:rRNA from 1 species
UACGGGGGGGGCAAGCGUUGUUCGGAAUUACUGGGCGUAAAGGGCUCGUAGGCGGCCAACUAAGUCAGACGUGAAAUCCCCCGGCUUAACCAGGGAACUGCGUCUGAUACUGGAUGGCUUGAGUUUGGGAGAGGGAUGCGGAAUUCCAGGUGUAGCGGUGAAAUGCGUAGAUAUCAAGAGGAACACCUGCGGCGAAGGCGGGUUGCUGGGCCGACACUGACGCUGAAGUGCGAAAGCCAGGGGAGCGAACGGG